rnacentral:tRNA from 1 species
UCCGUCGUAGUCUAGGUGGUUAGGAUACUCAGCUCUCACCCGAGAGACCUGGGUUCAAGUCCCCGCGACGGAA